AUCGCCUGUUUAUCAAAAACAUUGUUUAUAGAUAUAUUAUUAUAAAUAUAACCUGCCCAGUGAAUUCUUUAACGGCCGCGAUCACACGUGCAAAGGUAGCAUAAUCAAUUGUCCUUUAAUUGGGGACUAGAAUGAAUGGAUAAAUAAAAAUUAAGCUAUUCAAUUUUUAUAAAUAAAAAUUUACCUUUAGAUGAAAAGGUCUAAAUCCUAAUAAAAGACCAGAAGACCCUAUAGAGCUUUAUCUUAAACUAUUUUAUAAAUUUUAAUAAGAUUUGGUUGGGGCAACCUAGGAAAUACUUCCUAUAAAUUAAUAGAACUAUAUUUUAUUUCUAAGAUAUAAAAAAUUAAGCUACCUUAGGGAUAACAGGCUAAUCUUAUUUUAUAGUCCACAUACACAAUAAGGUUUAGCACCUCGAUGUUGGCUUGGAAUUCCUAUUAAAUGCAGACGUUUAAAAAGUAGGCUUGUUCAGCCUUUAAAAUUCCACGUGAUCUGAGUUCAGACCGGA
rnacentral:rRNA from 1 species